rnacentral:rRNA from 1 species
UAUUACAUUAAUUCAAAAAAAAAAAAAAGAUUAAUCUCGUCUGAUCUCAGAAGCUAAGCAGGGUCGGGCCUGGUUAGUACUAGGAUGGGAGACCAUCUAGGACGACUGGGUGCUGUAGGCA